rnacentral:rRNA from 1 species
GUGCCAGCAGCCGCGGUAAUACGAAGGGGGCGAGCGUUAUUCGGAAUCACUGGGCGUAAAGCGUGCGUAGGCUGUUCGGUAAGUCAGAAGUGAAAGCCCAAGGCUCAACCUUGGAAGCGCUUUUGAAACUACCGGACUCGGAUUUGGGAGAGGAUAGCGGAAUUGUCAGUGUAGCAGUGAAAUGCGUAGAUAUUGACAGGAACACCAGUGGCGCAAGCGGCUAUCUGGACCAACAUCGACGCUGAGGCACGAAAGCGUGGGGAUCAAACAGGAUUAGAUACCCUGGUAGUCC